AUCACUUCUUGGCCCUUUGACUAAGAUCAAGUGUAGUAUUUAUUCUUAUCAGUUUAAAAUACCUUAUAGCUGUAAAUGAUUCUAAUAAUAAUUACAGAAGAAAGAUUAUUGGGGGAAGUUCCAAGAUGGUAACUAAAAAGUAGCUGACAGGCCACUCUCUCACAAAGCAGACCUAGGGGAAGAGCCUCAGCCUCU
rnacentral:snRNA from 1 species